ensembl:miRNA
UCUGUGCGCAGUACCCCAUUCCAGGAAGUGCCAAACAUGUGGCUAGAUAAAUGCUUGGCAUCUCUUAGAGUGAGGUAAUGCACAACAAGUACGAC